AGAGUUUGAUCAUGGCUCAGGAUGAACGCUGGCGGCGUGCUUAACACAUGCAAGUCGAACGAUGAAGCCGGAGCUUGCUCUGGUGGAUUAGUGGCGAACGGGUGAGUAACACGUGAGUAACCUGCCCUUGACUCUGGGAUAAGCGUUGGAAACGACGUCUAAUACCGGAUACGACGCGCGAAGGCAUCUUCUGCGCGUGGAAAGAACUUCGGUCAAGGAUGGACUCGCGGCCUAUCAGCUAGUUGGUGAGGUAACGGCCCACCAAGGCGACGACGGGUAGCCGGCCUGAGAGGGUGACCGGCCACACUGGGACUGAGACACGGCCCAGACUCCUACGGGAGGCAGCAGUGGGGAAUAUUGCACAAUGGGCGCAAGCCUGAUGCAGCAACGCCGCGUGAGGGACGACGGCCUUCGGGUUGUAAACCUCUUUUAGUAGGGAAGAAGCGAAAGUGACGGUACCUGCAGAAAAAGCACCGGCUAACUACGUGCCAGCAGCCGCGGUAAUACGUAGGGUGCAAGCGUUAUCCGGAAUUAUUGGGCGUAAAGAGCUCGUAGGCGGUUUGUCGCGUCUGCUGUGAAAACUGGAGGCUCAACCUCCAGCCUGCAGUGGGUACGGGCAGACUAGAGUGCGGUAGGGGAGAUUGGAAUUCCUGGUGUAGCGGUGGAAUGCGCAGAUAUCAGGAGGAACACCGAUGGCGAAGGCAGAUCUCUGGGCCGUAACUGACGCUGAGGAGCGAAAGCGUGGGGAGCGAACAGGAUUAGAUACCCUGGUAGUCCACGCCGUAAACGUUGGGAACUAGAUGUAGGGACCAUUCCACGGUUUCUGUGUCGCAGCUAACGCAUUAAGUUCCCCGCCUGGGGAGUACGGCCGCAAGGCUAAAACUCAAAGGAAUUGACGG
rnacentral:rRNA from 1 species